GGUCCAGCACCAAGGGGACACGGGGAUGUCCCUUGCUCAGCACCGGUCACCGUGCGGCUGCGUUGGGACAGGGAGCGAGGGCACGGAGGGGGGAAGGGGGGGGGGGGAAGCUGAUUCAAGGCUGGUUUUCAGCCUGCAUCCAGCAGCUGAAAAUCAUUUGUGAGCAUCCCGCGGCGAGCGGCAGCCCUGCGGUGGGAUCCGGCCGCGCUCCCCCUUUCCCCAGUCACAUCCGUCCUCCGCGCGCCCGAGCCGGCCGCGGAAACGCUUUCGCCCAGAAAAGCUGGAUUUGAACAUUUCUGCUGUUCCCUCCGCUUCCUGUCGCCGUCCCAAGAACAACAGCCCUGACCUCAUCCACGCCGGGCGCCCGGGGACGCCAACGGCCCCCGGGGGUCCCAGCCCGGUGCUGAGCUCAGCCCCACGGGGUCCCCGGAGCAGCGCAGCUGCGUGGAUCACGGGGAGGGCGGCUGCGUGCUGGCAGGCUAUUUUGGGUAGAUCCUGCGCUGGUUUCUGGUGAGGUAGGAGGACAGAGAUGAAUAGGGAACAGGGAGGAACAUGGUUUUGGCUCAGGCGAGGUAUUUGCAGCCCAGAAGGAACAUUGAAACGCUCUCACGGUUGCGUGGGGGUUUUUGCUCAGACAGAGGUUUGCUUUUUUGCUGUGAGGCACGAAGAUGGUUCGCACGGCCACCCCUCGGGCCCUGCCUUUUCGGGGCGGGAGGGCAGCCUCCUCCGCCCGAGGGCGAACGGAUUUUGCCUGAUCCGAGCCGUGAUUUUGCAGCUCCGAACCGAGGCAGUGCAGGAACCACCCCAAGAGCCCGGCACCGACCGGGCGGCGACCCUACGAUGGCGCUCUCCAAUCUGUCCGAUUACUCCGACGACCUUGAUAACUACAACGACUACCUGGAUUACACCUACGAGGAGUCGAGCAGCGUGUGGACCAGCCCAUCCCACGACCCAAAGGACAUCGCCAGGAUCCUCUCCGUUGUCAUCUACAGCGUGUCCUGCGUGCUGGGCAUCCUGGGGAAUGGCCUCGUCAUUGCCAUCAUAACCCUGAAGAUGAAGAGGUCGGUCAACGCCGUCUGGUUCCUCAACCUGGCCGUCGCCGACUUCCUCUUCAACAUCUUCCUGCCCAUAAACAUCGCCUACACGGCCAUGCGGUACAACUGGAUCUUUGGGACCGUCAUGUGCAAGCUGAACUCCUUCCUCCUCAUCCUCAACAUGUACACCAGCGUCCUCCUGCUCACCACCAUCAGCUUCGAUCGCUACGUCUCGGUGGUUUUUCCCGUCUGGUCCCAAAACCAUCGGUCAACCAACCUGGCCUACUUGGUCUGCCUCAUCAUCUGGACCGUCGGCAUCAUUAUGAGCUGCCCGUCUCUCGUCUUCCGAGACACGGCACAAGCCCGCAACUCUGUGAUUUGUUUCAGCAACUUUUCCCUGUCCAGGAACAAGUCUUACCAAGCCCUGGCGCUGAUGAGGCACCGGACAGUGAACAUCACCAGGUUCCUGGCGGGCUACAUCCUUCCCAUCACCAUCAUCACCUUCUGCUACGUCGCCAUCGUCUUCAACCUGCGGCGAAACCGCCUUGCCAAGUCCAAAAAGCCCUUCAAGAUCAUCGUCACCAUUAUCGUCACCUUCUUCCUCUGCUGGAGUCCCUACCACCUGCUGAACCUCCUGGAGACAGAGCCCGACACGAUCUCGCGCUCCGUGUUCGAGAUCGGCAUCCCCAUAACCACGGCGCUGGCGGCCUCCAACAGCUGCAUGAACCCCGUCCUCUACGUCUUCAUGGGCCAGGACUUCAAGAAGUUCAAGGUGACCAUCCUUUCCAGGCUGGUGAACGCCCUCAGCGAGGAGACGGGCCACUCCAGCAUCGUCCACAGGAGCUUCUCCAAGAUGUCUUCGAUGACCGAGAAGGAGACGACAGUCCUCUAGGAUGCUGCUGCCCGAUUGCCCCGAGCUGUCCCAGCUAUUUAAGAAAACCUUGCAGGACAUUUUUAUCUAUCGUGUCACCGUGUGGCCUGUGCUCGUGGC